UAAUACCGCAUAAGCGCACAGUACCGCAUGGUACAGUGUGAAAAACUCCGGUGGUAUGAGAUGGACCCGCGUCUGAUUAGCUAGUUGGUGGGGUAACGGCCUACCAAGCCAACGAUCAGUAGCCGACCUGAGAGGGUGACCGGCCACAUUGGGACUGAGACACGGCCCAAACUCCUACGGGAGGCAGCAGUGGGGAAUAUUGCACAAUGGGGGAAACCCUGAUGCAGCAACGCCGCGUGAGUGAAGAAGUAUUUCGGUAUGUAAAGCUCUAUCAGCAGGGAAGAAAAUGACGGUACCUGACUAAGAAGCCCCGGCUAACUACGUGCCAGCAGCCGCGGUAAUACGUAGGGGGCAAGCGUUAUCCGGAUUUACUGGGUGUAAAGGGAGCGUAGACGGCGAGACAAGUCUGAAGUGAAAGCCCGGGGCUCAACCCCGGGACUGCUUUGGAAACUGCCUUGCUAGAGUGUUGGAGAGGUAAGUGGAAUUCCUAGUGUAGCGGUGAAAUGCGUAGAUAUUAGGAGGAACACCAGUGGCGAAGGCGGCUUUCUGGACAGUAACUGACGUUGAGGCUCGAAAGCGUGGGGAGCAAACAAGAUUAGAUACCCUGGUAGUCCACGCCGUAAACGACGAAUGUUAGGUGUCGGGGAGCAAAGGUUUUCGGUGCCGCCGCAAAUGCAUUAAGCAUUCCACCCUGGGGAGUACGUUCGCAAGAAUGAAACUCAAAGGAAUCGACGGGGACCCGCACAAGCGGUGGAGCAUGUGCUUUAAUUUGAAGCAACGCGAAGAGCAAUACCUAGUCGUGCCAUCGGGAUGAAAAAUCCUUAACCUGAUUCCCUCUUCGGAGCAUCGCUGACAGGCGGUGCAUGGGAGUUGUCAGCUCGUGUCGGGAGAAAUUGGGCUAAUUACCGUAACGAGUGCAACCCUUAUCGUUAGUAGCCAGCAGUAAGAUGGCCCCUAUAGGGAGAUUGGCAGGGAGAACAUGGAGGAAGGCGGGGAUGACGUCAAAUCUUCCUGCCCGUUAUGAGUGGGGAUACACACGAGCUGCAAUGGCGUAAACAAAGAGAAGCGAGCGCGCGAGGGGGAGCAAAUCUCAAAUACAUAACGUCUCAGUUUGGAUCGCCGGGGGCAAAUUGCGAGCAAGAAGGUGGAAUCGCUAGUAAUGGCGGAUCAGAAUGAAGCGGUGAAUAAGUUUUCGUCUUGAGCACACACCGCCCUUC
rnacentral:rRNA from 1 species